rnacentral:ncRNA from 1 species
UGGCAUGGCUGCGGGUAUCCGAAUGAUUUCUUUGCUCGCAUGUACUUAUGCAGUGUGAGCGAGAUCUCAGGAGGAUUGAGAUCAUACCGCCUGAACCUGAACAGCGCUCAUACCUGCGUAGGGAAGCCUCCCAGUGUCAUC